ensembl:snRNA U5 U5 spliceosomal RNA
UUUUAAAGGUUUCUCUUCGCGUCGCAUAAAUCUUUCGCCUUUUCUAAAGAUUUCCGUGGAGAGGAGCGAAAUGAGACGAAUCAAUUUUUUGCUGCUUCUUCACAGUUCUA